rnacentral:rRNA from 1 species
UACGGAGGGGGGCUAGCGUUGUUCGGAAUUACUGGGCGUAAAGCGCACGUAGGCGGCUUUGUAAGUUAGAGGUGAAAGCCCAGGGCUUAACCCUGGAAUUGCCUUUAAGACUGCAUCGCUAGAAUCCGUGGAGAGGUGAGUGGAAUUCCGAGUGUAGAGGUGAAAUUCGUAGAUAUUCGGAAGAACACCAGUGGCGAAGGCGACUCACUGGA